AGUGAACGCUGGCGGUAGGCCUAACACAUGCAAGUCGAACGGCAGCACAGUAAGAGCUUGCUCUUACGGGUGGCGAGUGGCGGACGGGUGAGGAAUACAUCGGAAUCUACUUUUUCGUGGGGGAUAACGUAGGGAAACUUACGCUAAUACCGCAUACGACCUACGGGUGAAAGCAGGGGAUCUUCGCACCUUGCGCGAUUGAAUGAGCCGCUGUCGGAUUAGCUAGUUGGCGGGGUAAAGGCCCACCAAGGCGACGAUCCGUAGCUGGUCUGAGAGGAUGAUCAGCCACACUGGAACUGAGACACGGUCCAGACUCCUACGGGAGGCAGCAGUGGGGAAUAUUGGACAAUGGGCGCAAGCCUGAUCCAGCCAUACCGCGUGGGUGAAGAAGGCCUUCGGGUUGUAAAGCCCUUUUGUUGGGAAAGAAAAGCAGCAGGUUAAUACCCCGCUGUUCUGACGGUACCCAAAGAAUAAGCACCGGCUAACUUCGUG
rnacentral:rRNA from 1 species